rnacentral:rRNA from 1 species
GAGUUUGAUCAUGGCUCAGAUUGAACGCUGGCGGCAGGCCUAACACAUGCAAGUCGGGCGGUAGAGAGAAGCUUGCUUCUCUUGAGAGCGGCGGACGGGUGAGUAAUGCCUAGGAAUCUGCCUGGUAGUGGGGGAUAACGCUCGGAAACGGACGCUAAUACCGCAUACGUCCUACGGGAGAAAGCAGGGGACCUUCGGGCCUUGCGCUAUCAGAUGAGCCUAGGUCGGAUUAGCUAGUUGGUGAGGUAAUGGCUCACCAAGGCGACGAUCCGUAACUGGUCUGAGAGGAUGAUCAGUCACACUGGAACUGAGACACGGUCCAGACUCUACGGGAGGCAGCAGUGGGGAAUAUUGGACAAUGGGCGAAAGCCUGAUCCAGCCAUGCCGCGUGUGUGAAGAAGGUCUUCGGAUUGUAAAGCACUUUAAGCUGGGAGAAGGGCAGUAAGUUAAUAACUUUGCUGUUUUGACGUUUACCGACAGAAUAAAGCACCGGCUAACUCUGUGCCAG